AGGGCAUUGGCUGACUCUGGACUUCCCACAUAGGGCAAUUGGCUUAAUAUGCUGAGGUGUUCAUAUUAUUUUAUACACCAACACUUACCACUUUGGUGCCCUCCUAUGCCCUUAACCAUUGAUGCCCAUCCUGUUUUAUUUCUUUUCACAUUACCUAUCAUUUAUUACUAUACAGUGAUAUCAUUGUGCAGUGCCAAGUACCAGUGGUUCUUAUAUUCAUGUAACACUAGCUUGCUACAC